CCUACGGGAGGCAGCAGUGAGGAAUAUUGGUCAAUGGGCGUAAGCCUGAACCAGCCAAGUCGCGUGAGGGAUGAAGGUUCUAUGGAUCGUAAACCUCUUUUAUAAGGGAAUAAAGUGCGGGACGUGUCCCGUUUUGUAUGUACCUUAUGAAUAAGGAUCGGCUAACUCCGUGCCAGCAGCCGCGGUAAUACGGAGGAUCCGAGCGUUAUCCGGAUUUAUUGGGUUUAAAGGGUGCGUAGGCGGCCUUUUAAGUCAGCGGUGAAAGUCUGUGGCUCAACCAUAGAAUUGCCGUUGAAACUGGGAGGCUUGAGUAUGUUUGAGGCAGGCGGAAUGCGUGGUGUAGCGGUGAAAUGCUUAGAUAUCACGCAGAACCCCGAUUGCGAAGGCAGCCUGCCAAGCCAUGACUGACGCUGAGGCGCGAAAGCGUGAGGAGCAAACAGGAUUAGAUACCCUAGUAGUC
rnacentral:rRNA from 1 species